CAUGAACAAGUGAUUGAAGCAAAUAAAAAAUAUUUAAAAUAAAUUAAGAAAGAAGAAACUUGAUAAUGAUUCCAUCCAAGGAGAGCCGGCACAAGUUUUAUCUACCAACCCUUCAAUCAAAUCGAUUAGAGGGAAAAAAAGGUUAUCAAUCCAUCAAAGGAAGAACCUAAAAAAAAUGAUUAAUCGAUCUGUGGGAAGC
rnacentral:lncRNA from 1 species